rnacentral:rRNA from 1 species
GAUGAACGCUGGCGGCGUGCCUAAUACAUGCAAGUCGAGCGAACAGACGAGGAGCUUGCUCCUCUGACGUUAGCGGCGGACGGGUGAGUAACACGUGGAUAACCUACCUAUAAGACUGGGAUAACUUCGGGAAACCGGAGCUAAUACCGGAUAAUAUAUUGAACCGCAUGGUUCAAUAGUGAAAGACGGUUUUGCUGUCACUUAUAGAUGGAUCCGCGCCGCAUUAGCUAGUUGGUAAGGUAACGGCUUACCAAGGCAACGAUGCGUAGCCGAACUGAGAGGGUGAUCGGCCACACUGGAACUGAGACACGGUCCAGACUCCUACGGGAGGCAGCAGUAGGGAAUCGUCCGCAAUGGGCGAAAGCCUGACGGAGCAACGCCGCGUGAGUGAUGAAGGUCUUCGGAUCGUAAAACUCUGUUAUUAGGGAAGAACAAAUGUGUAAGUAACUAUGCACGUCUUGACGGUACCUAAUCAGAAAGCAACGGCUAACUACGUG